rnacentral:lncRNA from 1 species
CUUCUCCCUGUGUGCAAAGGGGAUUAGCUGGGCACUUGCUCAGCUGAACUACCUCUGAAUGCACAUUCAAACUUCCAUCGAGAAUGAGCUCUUUCUCCCCCCUUCUAGAGGACCCUUCAACAAUUGAACCGCUGUAGACAACAGAUGGCAGAUAAUCACUUGAACAGCCUCCAAUUUUGUCAGGAAAGGAAAAGUGAUCAUCCAACUCUCUCUUACAGUAGCAUCAGUACUCUUUCUGGACUUUUUUCUACGGCCUCCGUUUCCUGAGCAGUUUAGGAUGGUUUUCUGUGGCAGCAACUGCAUUUCAGCUUCUUACUGAUUUUCUUCUCAGCAAGCACUUAAGGUCUAGCUUCCUCUUAAAAAACAGACCCUCCUCUCUACCUUUCAAAAAUAGUUUUACAUCACCAAACCUUCUGCCAUAUCCUCAUGGUGAGUAGAUUUCUUUUUCAGUAUUUUACUCUCAUUUUAUUGAUGUUUCAGUAGAAAGUGGAGAUAAAUGCAUAUAUUCAAUCCAGCAUAUAUAAUUGAG